GACGAACGCUGGCGGCGUGCUUAACACAUGCAAGUCGAACGGAAAGGCCUCUUUCGGGGGGUACUCGAGUGGCGAACGGGUGAGUAACACGUGAGUAACCUGCCCUUGACUUUGGGAUAACUUCAGGAAACUGGGGCUAAUACCGGAUAGGAGCUCCUGCUGCAUGGUGGGGGUUGGAAAGUUUCGGCGGUUGGGGAUGGACUCGCGGCUUAUCAGCUUGUUGGUGGGGUAGUGGCUUACCAAGGCUUUGACGGGUAGCCGGCCUGAGAGGGUGACCGGCCACGUUGGGACUGAGAUACGGCCCAGACUCCUACGGGAGGCAGCGGUGGGGAAUAUUGCACAAUGGGUGGAAGCCUGAUGCAGCAACGCCGUGUGCGGGAUGACGGCCUUCGGGUUGUAAACCGCUUUCGCUCAUGACGAAGCUUUGUGUGACGGUAGUGGGUAAAGAAGCACCGGCUAACUACGUG
rnacentral:rRNA from 1 species